CGGGGAGUAGUUUAAUGGCAGAAUGCGCGGCUGGGGGCCGUGUAGUCCGAGUUCGAUUCUCGGCUCCCCGA
rnacentral:tRNA from 1 species